rnacentral:rRNA from 1 species
UACGUAGGGUGCAAGCGUUAUCCGGAAUUAUUGGGCGUAAAGAGCUCGUAGGCGGUUUGUCGCGUCUGCUGUGAAAACCCGAGGCUCAACCUCGGGCCUGCAGUGGGUACGGGCAGACUAGAGUGCGGUAGGGGAGAUUGGAAUUCCUGGUGUAGCGGUGGAAUGCGCAGAGAUCAGGAGGAACACCCGUAGCGAAGGCGGCACUCUGGGCCGAUACUGACACUGAGGAGCGAAAGCGUGGGGAGCGAACAGG